GGACCCGGAAUUUGGGAAACAGCAUUCUCAAGGCGCUCCUUAUCCACGGGGAGGGAAAGAUCUCGGUCCAGAACCGUCGCAGUGGUUUCCGCAAGGUCCCCCACCUUCAGGCAGGACGCUGCGCCCCCAUUUCCAGGACUGGUCCUUGGACACCGGGAGGCACCAAGGAGGGCCUGGCCAGGUGAGCGGCGUGGAGGCGGCUGUAGGACACGCUCCUGGGGCAGAGGGCCCAGAAAGGGCCUCGUUUGGGGAGGAGCCUGCAGCAGCCCUCCCGAGGGGUCGCCUUCAACCGCCCAGUCCGGCCCCCCUCCCUGCCACUUUCCCUGCGGGAAGAUCACUCCCGUCCCUGAGGCUCGAGCGCUCCGAGACCCGGAGGCCCAGGCGGGCGGCGUGGCCCCUCCUCCCGGGGCCGUUCUUCCCCCNNNNNNNNNNNNNNNNNNNNGCCCCCCCCCCCCCCCCCCCCCCCCCGGGAACCCCGGAGGCUGGAAGGCAGCUCCCUGGAAUUUCGGCGCCCUCUGGGCAGGUGGAGGCCGUGCCGCAGUCUCCUCACCCGCACUUCCCAGUCGGCUGAGCCUAACCCGGUGCAGGGCUGGAGGCUGCGCGCCGGAGUGCUGGGCGCUUGCGGCGGGCGCUGGCUUCCCCGCGCCGACGACGCGCAGCGGCCGGGCUGCGCAGAGGUGGGAAGCGCCAAGCGUGUGCCCAAGGAACGUGGCGCCUCCUCCAAGCCCGAGCCGGCCUCAUCGGCUCUUUUCCCUCAGCUCCAUUCCCCAGAGGGGGAAACUGAGGCAGAGACCGGUUGUUGUCCUCAGUCCUCCUGUAUCUGUUCCUUUCAGGAGCCAGGACCUAGACAGCGCUGGGGGGCCCUCCCCACACCCCCAACCCCGGAGUGGCAGAGGCGGCGGAAGCACAGAGCACAGGGUCCACAUCUGGGCGCACAGCCUUCCAGCACUGAGCGCGCGCCUGGGCGCCGAGCCAGUGUCCCUGCCUACCCUGGGGGAUGACACGCCUGCCUUUCAGGUCCUCGUAGGAUUCCAGAACACCCGCGCCCGGGACCCGGGGCGCUCAGCUGAAUCGCUUCCAGCAGCUUGCCAGGGUCACCGCUCCAAACGCCGACAUUACCCUCCUGUCCAGCAGCGGCCUCCCCAGCGGUCCAGGUGCAGGAGCCUCAGGCCCUGCCCAGGACUUUCCCGGUCCGGGGAGGGCGGCGGCGGCGGGGCGGGGCUGCGUAGAGGCCCGAAGGCCGACAGGACAGCAGGAGCACGGCCGGCGCUGCCGACACAGCCACAACCGGGCCACACGGUUAAGAGCGCACGGUGCGGGAGCAGGCUCCUGUUGCUAGAACCGUCUAAUUUUCAAGAGCAAGUGGAGCACACUCCAGAUUCCUCUGGGUCAAUCGUGAUAGGGCCCAGCAGCUGGAAUUAG
rnacentral:lncRNA from 1 species